CAAAACGACCAGCCAGGCCCGCAUCCCCUGGGAUGCUUUCUGCCCGGUGCUCCUACCAAGGGGAUCGGCCCUUUCUGCCGUCACGACCCGCUUCCCCUCUUCCUCCCCUGGGCGCCUUUCGAGUCGGAGCCGCUUUGGUGAAGAACUCGGGUCACGUCGUUCAAGUUACCCACGCACCCGACCGGACUGGAAUAUCCCGGGGUUUACACGCCCUCCAAAGCGGUGUUUAUUGUAACUGCUGCGGGGCGCAUGGGGGGGGGGGGGGAAGAGGGGGUUGAGCCUUUACAUCAAACAAGAGCCCAGCCGCAGAGGGUCCCCCCGGCGGAGGGCUGAUCUGCAGCAGCCUUUACGCGCACCGUGUUUGCAAACUCUGCUUUCGAGCCUCUCCCCCUUCCUAGGCCGAGUAAGUGCAGCACCCAGAAAGGCAGGCAGGAAAGCGCCUAAGGGUGCGAAGCGGGGAUUGGGGCCCACCCUUGUUUUCCCCUCCCGGAAGAUGGUUCCGAGGUCCCGCAGGGACGCGGUCAAUGCCGUCCGCUCGGCAGAUGGGAACGCUCCUGAGUCAGGAGAAACACACGAGGAGCCGGCACGCGUGGGCCCGGCCGGCCGUCGGGGCCCGGCCUGCGGGUGCGAAGCCCGCAACAAGGCGCUCCGGGCUCGGGUCAGCUGCCCAGCCCCUCCUCGGAAACGCCCGGCCCACGGGCCUGCUGGGGCCCGGGCUCCCCCGCGGAAUAAUCCUCGCCCGUGGGGCAGGCUGCGGGUCCAGCCCCCGCGGCUAUUGCGGGGCAUCCCCCCGCCGCCCCCGGGUGAGCUCCGCCCGCAGCACCCCGGCCCGGCCCUUUCCACGCGCGGAACGGGGGCUUCGGCUGAGGCCCCCCGCAGGGAGACACACGCGGGGCGAGGUUCCGCCCACGCGAGAGUGAGCGCGCGCGCGUGUGGGGGGGUGGGUCUUGCACCUGCCCUGGAGGGGGGUGGGAGGGAGGCGUGCAAGCCGGGCAGGGCUCAGAGCAGCCCCCGCUUGCAGGGCUCGCCCGCGCCGCUCGGCCCGCCCCUGCACCGGGCUCGGGGCUCCGCAGAGACACCCCCGGCUCCGCGCCCGGGCAGCCGCUAUUAGCACAAAAUGGCUCCUCGCGCCCCACGUCACAGACCCAACCCGCCCUGCCUUCCCCCCACGUGGGGACCGCAGCGCGCCACCGCCCCCCGCGCUUUAAAAAAAAAAAAAAAAAGCAGCCGUCCAUCAAACAGAUCCAUCCGACCAAUCGGCAAGGGGCACUGCCGGCUGCCUUCUGUCCAUUGGCGGAGGCCGCCCAGGCUGCCACUCCAGCGUCGGGCUUGUCAGUCAAAGCCACGCGGGGGCCGAGCGCUGACAAACGCCGCCGCUUCUCAGCGUCCCGCUUGCAAAUAGUGCUUGGAAUGGCCGCUUAAUUAGCUUGGAAUGGCUUUUCCUUCCAGCUCAAACAAUCUGUCACUACCGUGCGGGGAAAAGGAGCCAUGCAUAAAAAAAAACUUCUCGCCACCAGCAGCAGUCCACAUGGAAUCCAGGUAUCCAACCUCAGACCCUGGGUCUGAUCUACAUAAGUGCCAAGAACUCAGAGCGGCAAAUGAAGUCAAUGGCAGUUGAGUGCUGUAUAAUUUUCCCUGUAUGUGCAGGUAGCUCAUCCAGAUGAGCACCCCAUGGUGAGCACUCUCCACUCCAUUCAUGACCGACUGAAUCCUUUCACCUUUGCCAUUUGUGAGCUGAGACCCACCGAGACCCUUCUUCCCGGCCGAACCCAGGAGGAGCAAUUGAUUCAGACUGGGCUCUCAAUGACCGUUGUAAAUCUGGAAUAACUCCACAGACUUCCAACUAAGUUACUCUGCAUUUAUCCUGCUUUAAUUAAGAGAACAAUCUGGCUUUCUGCUCAUAGGUUCACAGUAAAAAAAAAAGUAAGACUUAAUUGUACUGAUUGCUUUUAAUUGCAUUUUAAUCUUGAUUUAAUUUACUUUUAAUGUAUUGUUUCAUCUGCAUUUUUAUGUCUUAUAUUUAUUUUGUUGCUGUGCCAUGAAGGCUGCUCUAUAAUUAAAUAAAUAAGGAUG